rnacentral:precursor_RNA from 1 species
UCAUCCUCACUUCCGCAUUGAACAGCAAGGAUGGAACAGCUGACCGAAACUAAACGAUCAACGAUAUGCUCACAGAUAUUCGUACAUAAAAGUUUCUAUCAGAUGUUCCAUCCUAUGUUUAUCAAUUGAAAGAUAGGAUUAAAGUCAUUCACCAGAUCAACGCAUCAAGGAGGCUUCGGUGUUUUGUGUGUUUAGGAAUUGGUCUAAGAGCGGAGGAGAUUGAAGGGUUUGGUGUUCUAGUGUAUAUUAUUAUCACUUGAGCAGGAGUAGGAAUGAGAUAGAGAGAGUAAAAUGGUUUUGACCUGGUUUUCUAAUAAAUUUCGGAUCUGGCUUGUACGCGGUACUGUGCAUUAAGGCCAAGAUUUUUUCAGGCUUUUUAAAAUUAAUAAAUAAAUAAAAGACCAAACAUGUGAAAUGUGUCAUUUAUCAUCUGAGAAAAACAAAAUUUUUUAAAAAAAUGCUAUUAAAUAUUUUUAAAUUAUAUUAUUUUUUUUUUCUUUUAAAAUAAACAAAUAGAUGUGAAUGUGUUACCUAAACAAGAAUACUAAGAAAAUGUUACUUGAAAAUAUUAAAUAUUAUUUCUCAUUUUUUAAUAGCAUUUAUAUUUAACAUAAUUUUUUAAUUGUAUUAAAAAAAACAUGUGAAAAGUACGUACUUUUUAUAUGCUUUAAGAAAAUAUAUUAUUUUAUUAAAUUGAUUUAUAAAAAUUAAUUACUUAAUUACAUCUGUCCGGCAAUGAAACCAAACAAUUAUUUUUUAUUAUAGGAAUGCUGGGCAUGAGGUUUUUUGGGUUUUUGGACCGAAGGAAUUUUUCACGGAAGUUGGUUUUUUAUUUUUAUUUUUAUUUUUACUGUUUGAUUGUUUUUUUUAAUUAAAAAGGCUCGAGAAAAUCAUGGCCAUACAUGCAAAUUGCAAAGUACCCAUACAAGCCAAAUCCAUAAAUUUCUUUCCUGCGUUGUGUCAUUAAAGCAGGGGAGAGAAAGGCAAAUCUGAGAGAGAUUGAAUUACUGAACCGGUUGCGAGCUUCAUUUGUUUUUUUGAAAUAUUCAUAAAUUGCUUUCAAAUUUUCAUGCAAUUUAAAUAAUUUUUUAAUAUUUAUUUCUUCAAAUUUUCAAUUUUUCUUAUUAAAUCCUUCUCUAAUAAGAUUUUUUGUUAAAAUUUAAAGACUCUUUAUAAAAUUUCUCAUUUAUUUUUUUAGAAAUGCUUGAGCUCAUUCUUGAGCCCAUUUCAAGACAUGGGCUCAAGCAUUAUUCUUGUAUUUUAAUAAAAAGAAGAAUGAUAUAUGUGACUCACACAAUUUAAAGAUACAUUUGAAAAGUCAAUAGAAUGAGAUAUGCGAGAAAUGAAUAGGAGAAUAAUGUAUAUUAUUGCUCUUUAAAAUUUUUUUUUAUUAAAAACGUAGCAUAUUACAGUUAAUAAUUGAGCAUAUUUUCAUUAGGUUUUCUCUUUUAUAUUGUAAAAAAACUUUGAGUAAAAAAUUAUCAUUUUAUAAAGAAUAAGCAUCUCUGUAAAAAUGAAGAUGAGCCUUUUGGAAUGAAAAUUCUUCUUGGCUGCCUCAAUAACAAGUUAACUUUUUAAUAUGUGACAUUUUUUAAGCGUUGUGAUGCUUAGAAACAAUUAAAAUUACAUAAUUUGAGAAUUUAUAAUUUUUUUUGAAAUUGUAGAUUCGAAAAAAAUACGGAUAGUGUUUGGCAAAGGGCUUGGGUUUGUUAAACCAAAAAAAAAAAAA